CAGGCUUAACACAUGCAAGUCGAGGGGCAUCAGGAAGAAAGCUUGCUUUCUUUGCUGGCGACCGGCGCACGGGUGAGUAACACGUAUCCAACCUGCCCUUUACUCGGGGAUAGCCUUUCGAAAGAAGGAUUAAUACCCGAUAGCAUAAUGAUUCCGCAUGGUUUCAUUAUUAAAGGAUUCCGGUAAAGGAUGGGGAUGCGUUCCAUUAGGUUGUUGGUGAGGUAACGGCCCACCAAGCCUUCGAUGGAUAGGGGUUCUGAGAGGAAGGUCCCCCACAUUGGAACUGAGACACGGUCCAAACUCCUACGGGAGGCAGCAGUGAGGAAUAUUGGUCAAUGGGCGCUAGCCUGAACCAGCCAAGUAGCGUGAAGGAUGAAGGCUCUAUGGGUCGUAAACUUCUUUUAUAUAAGAAUAAAGUGCAGUAUGUAUACUGUUUUGUAUGUAUUAUAUGAAUAAGGAUCGGCUAACUCCGUGCCAGCAGCCGCGGUAAUACGGAGGAUCCGAGCGUUAUCCGGAUUUAUUGGGUUUAAAGGGAGCGUAGGUGGACUGGUAAGUCAGUUGUGAAAGUUUGCGGCUCAACCGUAAAAUUGCAGUUGAUACUGUCAGUCUUGAGUACAGUAGAGGUGGGCGGAAUUCGUGGUGUAGCGGUGAAAUGCUUAGAUAUCACGAAGAACUCCGAUUGCGAAGGCAGCUCACUGGACUGCAACUGACACUGAUGCUCGAAAGUGUGGGUAUCAAACAGGAUUAGAUACCCUGGUAGUCCACGCAGUAAACGAUGAAUACUCGCUGUUUGCGAUAUACAGUAAGCGGCCAAGCGAAAGCAUUAAGUAUUCCACCUGGGGAGUACGCCGGCAACGGUGAAACUCAAAGGAAUUGACGGGGGCCCGCACAAGCGGAGGAACAUGUGGUUUAAUUCGAUGAUACGCGAGGAACCUUACCCGGGCUUAAAUUGCAGUGGAAUGAUGUGGAAACAUGUCAGUGAGCAAUCACCGCUGUGAAGGUGCUGCAUGGUUGUCGUCAGCUCGUGCCGUGAGGUGUCGGCUUAAGUGCCAUAACGAGCGCAACCCUUAUCUUUAGUUACUAACAGGUUAUGCUGAGGACUCUAGAGAGACUGCCGUCGUAAGAUGUGAGGAAGGUGGGGAUGACGUCAAAUCAGCACGGCCCUUACGUCCGGGGCUACACACGUGUUACAAUGGGGGGUACAGAAGGCAGCUAGCGGGUGACCGUAUGCUAAUCCCAAAAUCCUCUCUCAGUUCGGAUCGAAGUCUGCAACCCGACUUCGUGAAGCUGGAUUCGCUAGUAAUCGCGCAUCAGCCACGGCGCGGUGAAUACGUUCCCGGGCCUUGUACACACCGCCCGUCAAGCCAUGGGAGCCGGGGGUACCUGAAGUACGUAACCGCAAGGAUCGUCCUAGGGUAAAACUGGUGACUGGGGCUAAG
rnacentral:rRNA from 1 species